UAGCGAAGGGGGCUAGCGUUGUUCGGAAUACUGGGCGUAAAGCGCACGUAGGCGGAUCGAUCAGUCAGGGGUGAAAUCCCAGAGCUCAACUCUGGAACUGCCUUUGAUACUGUCGAUCUGGAGUAUGGAAGAGGUGAGUGGAAUUCCGAGUGUAGAGGUGAAAUUCGUAGAUAUUCGGAGGAACACCAGUGGCGAAGGCGGCUCACUGGUCCAUUACUGACGCUGAGGUGCGAAAGCGUGGGGAGCAAACGGG
rnacentral:rRNA from 1 species